rnacentral:sRNA from 1 species
UUUCCUCACAAAAUUUAAAUAGUUUUUAAUCAGAGAAAACUAAACUGUAAGGAAAAAUAGUAUAUAAAAAGAAGGGGCUUUUAUAGAUAUGGGCAUAUUUCAGCCCAAAUAUUAGAGAAAUAGAACAUUUCAUUGGACUUAUGAAAAUAGGCAUAUUUUGGUCUGUAAAAUUACAGUUUUACCCUUAUUCUUCCUUUCUUCUUCCUUCUGUGACGUCGAUUUCAUUUUUUUUUCUGUUUCUUCCAAAAACUUCAUUGAUCUUCUUCCUUCUUCUAUACCUUUUGAACCCAAUAAAUCCAAUUACAUGCAUUUUGUUAAAAGAAAUCUAAACCCUAAUAGGAUGAUAUAUAUAGGGAACCCAAAUGUUUCAAUCUUAUACACAUAUUAAAUCAGUUACUUAUUUGAGAAUUCAAUUGAAUCAACCUCUUCAAUUACAUGUUUAACAAGAAACCCAAACAAAGAAAAUCAAAGAUUUAAUAAAAUCUACAAACAUGUUGAUGUGUAAUUUUAGAUGGAUAAUUUAAUUGUUUCCUUAAUUGAAUUCUGUAAAAGAUUGUGUAGAAGAAGAAGACGACAUAGACAAGAAAAAAAAA